ensembl:lncRNA
UUGUUUUCAUGUCCUUUUUGGCAGAAUUUGCCUCCCAUAAUGUAGUGUCCUGAAGGAGCACUACCAGACGCUACUGGACACCGCCAGGAAGAAGACGGACGCCAGGAUCGUCAUCUCCGGCCCUCUUCCCACCUACCGGCGGGGAUCCGAGCGGUUCAGCAGGCUCUUCGCGCUGCAGUCCUGGCUCCGCGGCUGGUGCGCCUGCAACGGUUUGGGCUACGUGGACAACUGGUCUUCGUUUUGGGAGCAGCCAGCGCUCUACCGGAGGGAUGGGCUUCACCCUAGUCCUCUGGGGUCCGUCGUCCUCUCAGGGAACAUCGAGAGGGCCAUCCGCUGACUUCAAAGCGGCCACAUUUGUUUCUAACAGGAUGUGUCUCCUUGUACUUUGCGAUGAUGUAAUGUUUUGGACACCUUGAAAUGCUUGGAAAUGGCAGUAUAGCUGUCUGGACCAGAGAAAACCCAUGCAGACAUGGGGAGAACAUGCAAACUCCAUACAGAGAGGACCCCGGUCGCCCGGCCGUCUACACCACAGGUCCAGUAUAUUUGGAAUGAAGUAUGCAAGUGAGAAGGUAUAUAUGAAUAUAUGAUUUGUUUAAAUUAAUUUAUUAAUAUUCAUAAAUGAAAUUUAAAAAUGUUGUUCUCUGAGCUCGCUUAAUAACAAAGCUAAAGAAAAUGUCUUUGCAUUGAUCAAACCAAAAAAAUAAAGAUAAAUUUUGUCAUUUAUCAUAUUAAAUUCAGUCUUUUAGCCACCUGCUAUGACUUAUUUUUAACAAAACAAAAGAAAAUCCAAAUUUGAUUUGUAUGGAAACUGUAUGAAAUUCAAAUAUCUGGUUAAAAGCUGAUCCAGACUAUAACUACACUCUCAGAAAAAAGGUAGGACACUGUCAUUGGGGCAGUACCCUUGUUUUCACUGUAGUGGUACCCUCAGGGGUACAUAACUGAACCAUGAUCCACUGAAAUUAUAUUUUCUACUAUGUACUGACUCCACACAACACACCUCACUGCCAGGCUUUUUAUUAA